rnacentral:rRNA from 1 species
CCUGAGAAACCCAAAAGAUCGAAUGGGGAGAUUCAUCGUCAGCGCAUUUGGUAUAUGUGUAAGUUAUGAUGCGGGUUACUCUCGAGUAUUGCCUGCACAUUCUUAUAUAUUUAAUUGCUAGAUGUUGUCGGCGUGCACUUCUCCCCUAGUAGGACGUCGCGACCCGUUGGGUGUCGGUCUACGGCCCGAGUGGGAGCCUUUGAUGCUUUAAAAACAUUAAAGACCCUCGGUGUUUCCUGACCGGCUGCCCGGCGGUAUUCGUACGGUAUUAAGCCGCAUUUAUAUGCGUCCACACCCGUCGCAAGCGCGGCCAGUUUCUGAUAGUACGGACCUAGUGCCGUCGUUGGGCCUGGCCAGCUGUUGGCUGUUGCGGUGUUCUGGGACUGGCUGAAAAAUAAUUACCGG